rnacentral:rRNA from 1 species
AUCAGAGUAGAUGAUGCCCAGCUUGCUGGGCGGAUUAGUGGCGAACGGGUGAGUAAUACGUGAGUAACCUGCCCUUGACUCUGGGAUAAGCCUGGGAAACUGGGUCUAAUACUGGAUACUACCUCUUACCGCAUGGUGGGUGGUGGAAAGGGUUUUACUGGUUUUGGAUGGGCUCACGGCCUAUCAGCUUGUGGUGGGRAAGUAGCUCACCAAGGCGACGACGGGUAGCCGGCCUGAGAGGGUGACCGGCCACACUGGGACUGAGACACGGCCCAGACUCCUACGGGAGGCAGCAGUGGGGAAUAUUGCACAAUGGGCGGAAGCCUGAUGCAGCGACGCCGCGUGAGGGAUGACGGCCUUCGGGUUGUAAACCUCUUUCAGUAGGGAAGAAGCGAGAGUGACGGUACCUGCAGAAGAAGCGCCGGCUAACUACGUGCCAGCAGCCGCGGUAAUACGUAGGGCGCAAGCGUUGUCCGGAAUUAUUGGGCGUAAAGAGCUCGUAGGCGGUUUGUCGCGUCUGCUGUGAAAGCCCGGGGCUCAACCCCGGGUCUGCAGUGUGUACGGGCAGACUAGAGUGCAGUAGGAGAGACUGGAAUUCCUGGUGUAGCGGUGAAAUGCGCAGAUAUCAGGAGGAACACCGAUGGCGAAGGCAGGUCUCUGGGCUGUUACUGACGCUGAGGAGCGAAAGCAUGGGGAGCGAACAGGAUUAGAUACCCUGGUAGUCCAUGCCGUAAACGUUGGGCACUAGGUGUGGGGUACAUUCCACGUUUUCCGCGCCGUAGCUAACGCAUUAAGUGCCCCGCCUGGGGAGUACCGCCGCAAGGCUAAAAACUCAAAGAAUUGACGGGGGCCCGCACAAGCGGCGGACAUGCGAUUAAUUCGAUGCAACGCGAAGAACCUUACCAAGGCUUGACAUUCACCGGACCGCCCCAAA